GGGGAGAAGCAGGAGUGAGAGCAGUGAUUUGGUCCCAGAGGAUUCAGCAGGGGAUUCUGACACAAAACCUCUGCUGCACCAAGGCCGGCAGCUGAAGCUGGUUAAGUGUCUCCAGCUGUGAGCAGACUCCCACGGAGAGAAGAACCACAAAAGCCUUAUCUAGGGCAGCCAAGUGUAAGGAAGUCCCACAGCCUGAAAGCUUUCCCAUCAUUCCACUUCAGCAGCAGUCAUGACUGCUCCUUUUCAGACAGCUCAGUCUGCUUUGCUUUGCUCGCCAGCUGAAACUGGAGUACACAGAUCCGCGAGCUCAAACCCAGCAGGACUCGCUGUGAGCUCAGUUCUGUUGAAGGGAGAAUGUUGUGAAUAUAUCAGAUUGCAGAAUGACUGAUGUUGGCAGGGACCUCUGGAAGUCAUCUUGUUCAAUUCCCUGCUCAAGACAGUGUCCAAACAGCUUUUGAAUAUUUCCAGGGAUGGAGACUCCACAGCCUCCUUUAAGGUCAGCAAACUUAAAACCCAAACAUGGAUGUGAAAUAUUAAUUUUGGGUUGUGUAAGAAUGGGUUUCUGCUGUGAAGAAACAGUCUCAGACUCUUAUUUUGCCUAGAGCCAUGUUCUUUGUUUAACUAUGCUGUUCAGCUUGGCAAGAUAUUACUGCUAAAGAGAAGAUGGAGAAGAUUCAGAAGUCAUCCAAAAAAAAAAAAGGCAAGAAUUUUGAGUAUCCUUUAAUUAAAAAGAAAAUUAUAAGGGUGACAUACUUAAAACAACUGAAAAGCUGAUUUUCCUAAGAGGUUUAUACAAUCUAAGCAUUAUUUUCACUCGCUGCUCUGAACUCUCCCCUACAACACACAUCCCAAAGUCCAGCUCAUUCCUCUGUGCUCUGCUCCACUGACUCCAUUUCCUUGUUCCCAUGGUGGGAAAGUGCUUUAAAAAUAGCUCUGUUUAGCCUUUAGCUAAGACAGCUUCAGAUCAGCACAACAGAUGCUUUCCUGAGCCAAUGGGGUGAAUUCCCAUCCCAUUUUUCAGCUGAUGGCAUUGUAUUUCAGCUUCAUUAAAUGAAGUUUAAGCAGCGCGAGAAAAGCCAUUCCUGGGCUAUUUCAUGCUCCAUAGAAUCUUCAGUGGGCUGUUUUUCACCAGCAUUGAGGGAGAAGGUGAGGGAGAAAGGAGGUUUCUGUCACCACAGGUAGCAGGGAAUGGGAGUGCAGUCUACCAAAAUUUCAUGGAGUCGUGCUAAUAAGCCUGCAGGAAAAGGCAGGGAAAGCCAAGCCCAAAUAAAUAAAUGAAUCUUGUGGAACAGUGGCUUAAAACAGCAAAAGUGACUCUGUGAGGCACAGAGGUUAUAGUGCAGCGGGAGCUAAUUUAAACAGGCACAGUAAAUGCAAAAAAUAUUUAGAGAAAAAGAGGAUUUGUGAGUGAGUGAGUGAGUGCUUAGAAAGAAAGAAAAAAGAAGCUGCAGGAGCCCCUCUAGCACUGCUGCUGCUGAUGCUGCUUUAAUUAUCCUUCUGCUACAUGGGAUGUUGAUCUUCCCAGAUGUUCCAGGCAAUUUUGAUACCAACUUACUCUGAGACAAAACUGCAGGCCAGACAUGCAGUAACAGGUAUGAAACAAGACUGUUUUAAAAUAAAGAAUAUCAGCAAAGAGCAGAUAAAAGUCAACAGAACACCCCUGCUCCCCUCUGAGAACUCUGGUUCCUUCAGGAUUCCAGAUGCUGCCUCUCUGAGCUGAAGGUGUUUGGCAGCAUCCAGGAACUGCCCAGUGUUACAUCUUGUACUUGCUUAGACACCAAUCUCUUCUCAAAGAACUUUCAUUAUUUUACCUAAAGUCUGCCUAGCACAGAGCAGCUCCAAGCAUAUGGGGUGCUAAGAGUAGCUAAAACUGAGUGAAAAAAAAGAAAAAAAAAAAAAAUCAAGAUUUUUAUUCUCCAUAGCACGCUCUCAUUUUGAGAUCAGUUAAAUAGCUGAUGCUUAAUUUUUUUUUUUUAUCUUCAUAAUAGAAAUAAUAGGGGGUUCUCUAGUGUUGAUGCAAGAAAUAAUUUUCUGUGACUAUUUAGCCUGAAGUUACCAAGAGAAGAGAAAGAUUCUCCCAGUAUUGUCUAUGCCAACAUUUUGAUUUAUCAUCAAAAAAGUCUUCCAGUCUUCACUUCAUACUUAUCAGCUGAUGAGUUUAGUUAAACCUGACAUUUAGGAAUAGCUCAACUUGAUUAAAUUCAAAUUUUUUGCUUUGUAAAUCAAAGGCACUAUAACCUUCAAAUUUUAGGAAUGUUCAGAAAAAAAUCCAUUAAUAUUAUGUUAGUGUUGUGUUCAACUGUUUUAACACCAUCAAAAGUCAGGAAAACCUUUGAAAACUAGACUAGGACACUCUAGUACAUCUGAUGUCCCAUUAAAAGAGCAAAGAAAUAAAAUUUUUUCAGACGUAAACUCUGCUCCAGUAGCAGUUUGAAUUUGUGUAAUAGAAAUAAGUAACCCUAACCAGUUUUUCUCCUUAAAGACCCCUUCUAUUUUCUUGUAAAUCUCACUGAGUUGAUGGAAAGCAAGAACACUUCUCCAAUUAGGGCACAAAAGAUAAUUACAUAUUUACAAGCAUAUUUAUUUGGAACAAUUUACAUUAAGAAAGGAAUAGGAUAAAGUCCUUUAAAAAUCAGAAGUAGAUUGUGGAAGAAACCCAGAGGAGGUGACCCUUCAGUUUCUCACAAUACAAGAACCAGUGUUAAGUAUUAAAGUAUCAUUAAGUCCAAAAUACAACAGAGGAAAUGUAAUUCAGUGUGUAAUUCACUGGAUGAAAGUGUUCUGGAAGUCAAAAAAAGGAUUUACAUGUGUUCCUGAAAGGUAAUUUAUUAGGCUUAUUAGGCUGAUAAACAAAGGAAAUAAUAAAUUAUGUAAAUGCUCCUUUUCCUCUGACUUUUUCUCAUGAAGUUAUAUAUGCAAAGUGCUAGAAUUUUAUUACGCGGUUAAAUUACCUGGGAACAGGCAGAAAUACAGGUUCUGCUGUGGAAAGAGCAAUGUGAAUUCAAAGGGAACUAAAAGGAGGAAUCUAAGAGAAGAAGCCUUGGGGACAAGACUGAAAGGGUUGCCAUGAAAUUGUGACAGGACUCUGAAUUUUAACCACUGUUCAACACACACUUGACAUUUUUCUGGCUCUUUGUAUGCUUUGACCUAACAGAAGAGUGAGCAGCCUGUGUCAGUCUCUUGUCCCUGAAACAAUCUGCCCUGGGCAAUUUUCUGAAUAUCUGUUAAAUUAGCACUUGAUUUACAUAGAGGUUUCACAUACAAUUCAGAAAACAAUACUCUAAAUUUAACCCAAAGUUUCUCCUGAAGCUUGUCUCAUCCCUGCAUAUCACAACUUCCCCUAAUGUAAAAUCAGUUAUUCAGGACUCUGUUACCAGAUCUCCUUUCCUCUUUUUCCUAAAUCAUUCUUAACAAUAAGGAACAUUCUAUGGUGGGGUUUUUUGUUGUUGUUUUGGGGUUUUUUUAAGAGAAAAAAUAAUAAAUAUUAACUUUAAAAGCAAAUUUAAAUGCAUAGCAAGCUUUGGAUACCCAUUUUUCCAAAGGGAAGUGAUAACAGCCCUUAACCUGUGACUUGCCUCAGGAAAACAAAAAUUGUUAUCUGAGUGUGUGAUUUCAAACACCAGGACAUGAUAUUCAGCUCAGAAAACCCACAGGACACAUUUCUGAAUGCUGAAGAAUAGAGAAGAGAUGUUUGAGCAUGCGGAUAACUCUGUUCAGUUCUGGGCUCCCUACUAUUAAAAAUAUGUGGACAUUAUUAUUAAGUUAUAUUAACAGAAAAUUUACCUAUUUUACAGAAUUAUGCUCUAGAAAAGAAAUUGAUCCACUGGCCUAUACAGAGUAAAUACUUGUUUCUCAUCAGCCUUUAUUUAGUAGUCCUUCUUUAAGACUUCUCCUUGGGCCUUUACAGUAUGAACAAAGACAUCAGGCCAGGUAGCAAAAUUAUGAACACUGAGCCAAGAAAUCAAGAGUGCUCUGCCUGUUGAAUGAGUUAAUGGGAUCCACGGUGUUUCCCUGCCCUGGAUCACAUUUUGUUUUGAGACAGACUGAGGGGUGCACAGAUUUCUGUCUUGUCCACGUUUGUAUUGCCACCCAUGACCUACAAGAAGGGCAUCACACAUCCCUCUAAAUGUAAUAAUGUUUCUGUUUCAGAGCUGUCUGGAACAGACUGGAAUGUUGUAGCCACAUUUGUAAGUUUCUGUCCAUUAAUACAUACCUUCAACUUUAUUUACCAUGUGCU